AGUGACAAAAGUGAAGUUGAAUUUGAUAGCAGCGAAGAGUUUAUUGAAAAUGCAACGAGACAGAGGUAUAAAUGGAAGUUUAUGUCAGAUUCCAGAGGACAUUAAAUUACCUAUUUUACAUAUGAGGAUCUACUAGUAAUGGAUCAGAAGUUGGUAGAUCCUCUAGUGAAGAAAUGUAUGAUUAAAGUGAUAGCUGAUAUAGGUGGAGUUGAUCUUUCCGAUUUUAUAAAACGAUCAAUGAAAUUUCUUCUUGGUGACGAUCUCUCAAAAAAAUUAAAUCUUACUGGACAAAAUCAAAAGCAACCUUUUAAAACAUUGAAUAUAUGUGAAGUUCUGUUCAGUGAGUCUA